CAGAGGGAAACACUGUGACCACCUGUGUACUUUGGCUGUAAUUGUGUGUAUAGAGCAAGUGCGUAAAAAAACCUGGGAAAAGCACAGGAAAGCAGAAGUCAAGAACUCACUUAAAAUGUGUAGUCAGAGCUCAAGGGCUGUAAGCCAUCAAGAGGCCCCUAAUACUGGGAGAAUGUGUAUUCUGUUCUGCUGGCAAAACAGAUACCUACUAAAGACCAUCUAAAAGAUGAAGAUAUGUCCUGGCAAAAUUACUCUGUGGAAGUUUCAAAGUCAGCCAUCAUUUGGGGGUCUGAAAAAGUCUUGCAUGCCAUGACAAAACUUCAGGCUUUGCCUUGAGAGCAAACACUGACAUGGGAGACAAUAAAGUGAAGAGAACGGAUACCUCUGGGAAGAGAGAUCCAGAAGGAAAUGCUAAAAGGCAAAGUGCUGGGGAAUUGGUGUAAAGUUUACUCCCAGCCAUUUCACAGAUAUGCUUUAACAUGUGAGCUAAUU